AGCCGCUCUCUCACCGUCUUAAUCUCCUGUAAAGUCUCUUCUCCACUGCUCCUGUUUAAGGAUUGGGAUUACAGGCAUGGGCCCCGACAUGUGGCCUCGUGAAUGAACCUUAAAGAUCCAGUCUGCGGGGUCAAAGAAGCCAGGAAUGGAAGGAUUACAAAGAAGCAAGAUCAACCCCUUGAGACACUAAGGACAGUGUAUCCAAUGAGUGACAGAUGCAAAUUUGGGCUUGAUCUUGGUCAAACUAACCCAAGAGGAAGCCUGUGCUUUCGUUCCUUCCUGUGACACCGACACGGGUGAGGAUGGGAGGGCCAGGGCCCUGACACAUUGCCCGAGUGAGGGGCGUUCGGCGCGAUGACUCUGGGAGCCUGGCCCUGCACGACGGCAGAUGGCGCGCAAUCUGUGGCGCACCAGCCUGCAUCCACUUUAAAGAUGGAGGCCAUUGUCUUACAAGUUCAUGUCUGUUUGCUGCAAAGUCCGGCUGACCGUGCUUUAACCUGUUUCUGGAAUCUGUCAUGCUCCCUGCCUUGUGGAGUUUGACUCACACCUUGGAUGUACCCUGAUAAAAUAAGAUGUUUUGACAAAUAAUUUUGAAAUCUUCAGCCAAGUUCCUAUGUAACCAGAUUUCCUCUGGAAAUCCCCUUGCAAACACUAUGUAUGACUUCUCUUCCCCCAUGCUAGAUGCUAUUUUCUCAGACUCUGAUUUAAGGAGAGAUAGAAAACAAAACAAAAAAAAAAAUUUUUUUUUCUGACAGAAAAUAAAUCCUGUAUAA